rnacentral:rRNA from 1 species
CGGUAGCAAUACCGAUGAAGAAAGAGUGGCGAACGGGUGAGUACCACGUGAGCAACCUACCCCGAAGACUGGGACAACACCGGGAAACCGGUGCUAAUACCAGAUACCCAUAUCGGACCGCAUGGUCUGAUAUGGAAAUGCCGUCUUCACAGACGUACGCUUCGGGAGGGGCUCGCGGCCUAUCAGCUAGUUGGUGAGGUAACGGCUCACCAAGGCUUCGACGGGUAGCUGGUCUGAGAGGACGAUCAGCCACACUGGGACUGAGACACGGCCCAGACUCCUACGGGAGGCAGCAGUGGGGAAUCUUGCGCAAUGGGCGAAAGCCUGACGCAGCAACGCCGCGUGGGGGACGAAUGCUUUCUGAGUUGUAAACCCCUUUCAGCAGGGACGAUUAUGACGGUACCUGCAGAAGAAGCACCGGCCAACUACGUGCCAGCAGCCGCGGUGAUACGUAGGGUGCAAGCGUUGUCCGGAUUUAUUGGGCGUAAAGAGCUCGUAGGCGGUUUGAUAAGUCGGGUGUGAAACCCCCAGGCUCAACCUGGGGCCGCCAUUCGAAACUGUCAUGACUAGAGUCCGGUAGGGGA